AGUACCCGCGAGUGGCUUCAGGGAGCGCAAGGCCAGCUGAGUCUGGGCGCUGGAUGGGCGGCCUUGGCAUUAGGUCCAGAUUUGGGUCCUAAGUACUGUGCCCAACCGGCCCGAGGGGAAGGGGGAGGAGACAGGAACCGCGCCCAUUUUCCGGAUCAGGUUCUUGGAACCAGCCCGGAAAUCCUGGGACUCAAUCUGGGGGCCAGAUCUGGAGGCGAUGGUUUUUCUAGAGACGGGCUGAUGCAGCCCCAGUAUGCCGUCGCACUCAUUUCCCACAUUCCAGGAACGGUCCAGGUCUGCCCUUCAGCGGUUUGGGAACUCCGCGACGACUCCCUCUCUCCACAACUGCAGGGUGGGCCGCGCUCUGAAAACCUGGCAAAGCGAUGGGGGUCCCUCAGAGCCCCUCCUUCAUAUUCAGUUUCAAAAGGAUUUGGCAUUGGGGAAACCUUGGGACCUCAAGCCACAUGGAGAAAGAGCUCCAGGUCACAAGGGCUUGGACCUGAGGGCACCUCGGCUGGCUCCUUUCUCGUGCAGUCUUUGCAAAAGAGGACCAGGUGGUGGCCAGAAGGGCACUUUGAGGGCUGAAGAGCUCAAACUGCACAGGGAUAGGACCGAGGUGCAGAGUCCUUGGGGCCCUUUUUUUUUCUGUCAUAUCUUGUUUUGCCAUUCGGCCUGGAAAUACCUGGAAAUUCUUCCUGCCUGUUUUUCCCUCAGAAAAGUUUUUUUUAUGUAAAAGUGGCCAGGCACAACUGUAAUCCCAGCACUUUGGGAGGCCGAGGUGGGCGGAUUGCUUGAGGCCAGGGGUUCGAGACCAGCCUGGGCAACAUAGCAAGACCCCGUCUCUGCCAAAAAUACAACAAAUUAGCCAGGCGUGGAAACGCGCGCCUGUAAUCCUAACUGCUGGGGAGGCUGAGGCAGGAGACUCGCUUGAACCUGGGAGGCAGAGGUUACAGUGAGCCACCAAGAUCAAGAUCGUGCCACUGCACUCCAGCCUGGGCGACAGAGAAAACAGAAAAGGAAAAAAAAAAAAAAGAAAGGACAUCUCUGCCGGGCUCUGUGUGUGGCUCAUGCCUGCAAUAGCAACAUUUUGGGAGCCUGAGGCAGAGGGAUUGCUUGAGGCCAGGAGUUUGAGUCCAGUCUGGGCAACACUGAGAGACCCUGUCUCUACAAAAUAUAAACAAAAUUUGCCAGGUGCUGUCAUCCGCCUGUAGUCCCAGCUACUCCGGAGGCUGGGGUGGGAGGAUCACUUGAGCCCAGGAGGUCGAGGCUGCAGUGAGCAGCCACUCUAUCCUGGGUGACAGAGACCCUGUCUCUAAGAAAUGAAUGAAUGAACAUCUUGCUGUGAGAUGUGCUGUGUAACCCCUUUGCAAUGUCCUCCCGAGAACUUUGGUAAAGGCUUUUGCUUUUUUGCAGUGCUUUUUGGAGUUGGAUUGGGGGUGUGUGUGUGUGUGCACGCGCGUGCAAGUAGGGAGAAAGGGAUUGGUUUUAUACAUUUUGUUUAUUUUUCCUUUUAU
rnacentral:lncRNA from 1 species